ACCCGACUGCUAUCAGAGUGAGAUUAAGCCAUGCGAGUCAACGUAGCAAUACGUGGCAUACGGCUCAGUAACACGUAGUCAACAUAACCAAAGGACGUGGAUAAACUCGGGAAACUGAGGCUAAACCGCGAUAGACCAAGAUACCUGGAAUGGUUUUUGAUCAAAAUCUAUAUGGCCUUUGGAUUGGACUGCGUCCGAUCAGGCUGUUGGUGAGGUAAUGGCCCACCAAACCUAUAACCGGUACGGGCUCUGAGAGGAGGAGCCCGGAGAUGGGUACUGAGAAAAGGACCCAGGCCCUAUGGGGCGCAGCAGGCGCGAAACCUCUGCAAUAGGCGAAAGCCUGACAGGGUUACUCUGAGUGACUUUCGCUAAGAAAGUCUUUUGACACCUCUAAAAACGGUGUAGAAUAAGGGGUGGGCAAGUCUGGUGUCAGCCGCCGCGGUAAUACCAGCACCCCGAGUGGUCGGGACGAUUAUUGGGCCUAAAGCAUCCGUAGCCGGCCUUACAAGUCCUCCGUUAAAUCCAACUGCUUAACAGAUGGGCUGCGGAGGAUACUAUAAGACUAGGAGGCAGGAGAGGCAAGCGGUACUCAGUGGGUAGGGGUAAAAUCCGUUGAUCCAUUGAAGACCACCAGUGGCGAAGGCGGCUUGCCAGAAUGCGCUCGACGGUGAGGGAUGAAAGCUGGGGGAGCAAACCGGAUUAGAUACCCGGGUAGUCCCAGCUGUAAACGAUGCAGACUCGGUGAUGGACCAGCUUAAUGCUAGUCCAGUGCCGCAGGGAAGCCGUUAAGUCUGCCGCCUGGGUAGUACGGUCGCAAGACUGAAACUUAAAGGAAUUGGCGGGGGAGCACCACAAGGGGUGAAGCCUGCGGUUCAAUUGGACUCAACGCCGGA
rnacentral:rRNA from 1 species